UACCAGCACCCCGAGUGGUCGGGACGAUUAUUGGGCCUAAAGCAUCCGUAGCCGGUUUUACAAGUCCUCCGUUAAAUCCACCUGCUUAACAGAUGGGCUGCGGAGGAUACUAUAGAGCUAGGAGGCGGGAGAGGCAAGCGGUACUUAGUGGGUAGGGGUAAAAUCCGUUGAUCCAUUGAAGACCACCAGUGGCGAAGGCGGCUUGCCAGAACGCACUCGACGGUGAGGGAUGAAAGCUGGGGGAGCAAACCGG
rnacentral:rRNA from 1 species